rnacentral:rRNA from 1 species
CCCUAGUAACUGCGAGUGAAGCGGGAAAAGCUCAAAUUUAAAAUCUGAGGGUCCCUGUGGCCUUCCGAGUUGUAAUCUAGAGAAGUGUUAUCCGCGCUGGACCGUGUACAAGUCUCCUGGAACGGAGCGUCACAGAGGGUGAGAAUCCCGUCUUUGACACGGACUACCAGGGCUUAUGUGAUGCGCUCUCAAAGAGUCGAGUUGUUUGGGAAUGCAGCUCUAAACGGGUGGUAAAUUCCAUCUAAAGCUAAAUAUUGGCGAGAGACCGAUAGCGAACAAGUACCGUGAGGGAAAGAUGAAAAGAACUUUGGAAAGAGAGUUAAACAGUACGUGAAAUUGUUGAAAGGGAAACGCUUGAAGUCAGUCGCGUUGUCCAGAAAUCAACCUUGCUUCUGCCUGGCGUACUUUCUGGUUAACGGGUCAGCAUCAAUUUCGACCGGUGGAUAAAGGUCAGGGGAAUGUGGCAUCUUUUGGAUGUGUUAUAGCCCUUGGUUGCAUACAUCGGUUGGGAUUGAGGAACUCAGCACGCCGCAAGGCCGGGUUUUUACCACGUACGUGCUUAGGAUGCUGGCAUAAUGGCUUUAAUCGACCCGUCUUGAAACACGGACCAAGGAGUCUAACAUGCACGCGAGUGUUUGGGUGGAAAACCCGAGCGCGUAAUGAAAGUGAAAAUUGAGAUCCCUGUCGUGGGGAGCAUCAAUGCCCGGACCGGACCUUUUGUGAUGGAUCCGCGGUUGAGCGUGUAUGCUGGGACCCGAAAGAUGGUGAACUAUGCCUGAAUAGGGUGAAGCCAGAGGAAACUCUGGUGGAGGCUCGUAGCGAUUCUGACGUGCAAAUCGAUCGUCAAAUUUGGGUAUAGGGGCGAAAGACUAA